AGGAGCUACAACUAGGGCAGCUGGGAAAAGUAGCUUACUAAAAUCAUUGACAGUUAGAUAAGCCUGAUGCAUCUGACACAUUUUCUACAUUAUAUGAUUACCCAGCAACUCUGGCAAGUUGGUAUAUUAUUCUCAUUCUAUUUCAAAAGAAACUGAAGCUCAUAGGCGCUUUCUGAGUCACCCAGAUCACAAAACCUGUUGGGAUAACAAUAGCUGCCUCUUGUCUGACAUUCCCCUGGUGCACACCAUAGUCCUAGGAGAUUAGGAAGGCAAUUGCUGUGUCAACUCAAGGGUGAAGAGAUGCACAGAUGGAUGAAUGGAAGAAGACUUCUAUGCAGCCGAGCAAGCAGCUCAAAGUGAGCUCCAGGCACACUUUUGCUGGGGACUCUUGCAUAUGCUGUUUCUUCCCCCUACAUUCUAGUCCCUCACAUAUGCACAGGCCUCAUACCCUCCCAUCCUGCAGGUCUUAGCUCAGAUAUCAGCUUCUCAGUGAAAGGUUUUCUGCCUACCAGACCCAAAACUGAAAGACCUACCCUUCAUCAUCCCUGCCCUGGGGAGGUCCCUUUU
rnacentral:lncRNA from 1 species